GUUAACGCCGUCGAGCGGUCGCGGCGAGCAGGUUCGCAGCGCGCCACAUAAUCUCUCUCUGUGUGUCUCUCUCUCUCUCUCUCUCUCUCCUUCGGAGAAGACACGUUAACUUCUAAAGUCUCUCCCCGUCUCUCCCCUCGCUCGCAGUCUCCUCCUCGCGACUAGGCCGCGCGCGUUCGCACAAUGCGCGCCGGGACGACAAUCGAGCCCGCGGGCAAACACACGGAAAGAGCCACUUUCCCUCUCUCUUCCGGCUCUCGCCGCCAAUGAAAUAUACGAUUACGAGCCGCACGAGGAGCAGAGGUCGAGUAGGGAUCCAUAGAUCACCGAUCGGAAGCGGAGGGAGUCCCGUCGUCAAUGGGAUCGGCGUCACUUCGGGUUACAAAAGGCGCAGGUUCCACUGGCGCGCUUGCAGGGGCUCGUUAACCCUAAAGGCGGGCUCGCCGGUCCCUUCUCAGGUUGCCCAGGUGGGUCGCAAUGGGAUACCAGGAUCGAGUGCUCGAUCAGUUUCCUCGGAGCUUCUCGCGAACCUCGUCUUCUCUCCGCUCCGUCGUCCACGUUGACGUCGCGCGAACGUCCACGAUCGCGUGCUUCUUUUUGUUUCCCUCUCGCCUCCGGUCCUCUCGCGUCGUCUGGAACGUCGCGCGGGCGUUGACGCACCGGAAUGUGGAAUAUGGAACGAUUCCGCGGAGAAAACCGUCCAGCCUACGUAACUGACUCCACGUCCGCAAAAUGACUCAUCUUUGCCUCAGCGACGGAAUCAUCGGCACGAUCCGACCAACUUUGUAGGUGAACCGAACGAAGCUAGAGCGAUCACAUCGUCACGGCCACGAGUCCUCGACCCGCGAGGAGACACGAAAACGGUGCAUCACGUGUACUCGCGACCUUGACUUCCCGCGGCAUCGGAACGCUAAGAGGUUUACCUCGGUAAACCCUGGUAUCUCGGGAUACCACUCGGGGUCUCGGUCGAGGGAUUAAGACGGGGUUGUUGAGCAGCAGGACGACACGGCGGACGGGGCGAGAGAUGGCGGUGACGCUGACGGAGGCCGAGACCGAGACAGAGACACAGAGACGGAGACGGAGACGGAGAAGACGCGGGGCGAGAAUGAGAAAGGGAAAGGAGACUGUAACCGUACGCCCGUAUAAUUGAUUGAGUCUAAUGAGUUAAAGAGGAUGUGCUACGGUCGCUCGAUGGCAAAAAUUAAAGAGUCCCGUCUGGGUCAUGAAGGCGACAGCGGAAGGCCGCGGAACAGAGAAAGUACGGGAACUUGGCUACUUCCCUCUCACCCCCGGCUGACCCCCCUCCGUCGUCCCCGCGCCCCCUUUUCACCGCUGCUUCUUCCGGCAUCUCAUUCGGCGUCCACGUCGACCGUUGGCGCGGGAAGCGUUGAUUGUAAAUUAGUUAAAGGAGAUGCUUCAUUAGGCGGAGACCGUCUCGCGCCGCUUCUUGAGGGCCGCGCAGUCUCCCUGCGCGUUUAGCUGUUUUUAAAGGGGCUCGCGGCAUAAUAACCGGCGCUCCGCCGCGGAGGCCGCUCUCAAGCAAUUACGUAACUCCGUAAGAGACGGGAUGAAACGAGCUACGUUUUAUUAUCGGCGAGAUGACGACGACGACGACGACGACGACGACGACGACGACGACGAAUGGAGUUUUUCAGUCACGCGAUCGCCGGUUUCCACGUUUCGCUGAUUUUUAUUCCCGGCAAGGAUGAGGUCACGGUCGAGAGACGGGAUAUGAAUAAUACGAGAGCGAGAUACGCGAUAAGGAGUAUGCGCGGCAUUAUACUCGACAAUUAUUACAAGAUAUAUUUGUAGAUCGUCUAUCUCAUCGCAUUCACGUAUUUUUUCGACAUGACGUUACUUUCUUAUUGCGUCUUAUAUAACGAUGUAUCUGCAACACAAUCUAUUACGAAUCUCCUUGACUUCUCCUUACAUGUAUAAUAUAAUCAUUGGACCGACGGACAAGUAACGGGACACUCGAUGAAAAAUUAGAAGAACGUCAAUUAGUUGAUCGAUGAAGUAGUAGGGGUACCCAAAAGUAAUCAAAUAUUUGAAAAUAAAUUCCAAAUGGAGUAAUUUCAGAAAGAUAGUUUCAAAACGGAUGAAUAAAACAUGUGAAAAUUCACACCUAAACCUUCCAUUUUUUAAGUCAAUGAUAAGUUAAGUGUCUCAUUCACAAAUCACACUCUAAGAAAAUACUGUUUAUAUACUACAUAGCUCACACACAAGUAGAAAUCGAUAGGAAUAAAAUUCUUCUAAAUACACUUGAUUGCUUGUGGACAGCCGUAAUAAUCAAGUCUCGAAUUUCGCAAAAUCUCGUAACUUAAUACCGAUAUCGUCGAACGGAAGAGGAAAUGAACGCCUCGCGAGACCAUAGCUCGACGCUUGAGAGCAUCGAAUCCGCUCCGAAGCGAAUUACGGAGUUCGCCCUUCAUCGGAGCGUUCACGCGCUCAUCUCGUCUACGCGAUAUUACUUUUCGGCAGGCUCGCGGGUUUCGCGGGCGCCAGCUCGCUCGCCGACGUCUUUUCAAUUUGCAGCGAGAUGAAAAAGGUGGCAACGGCGAGCCGAGAGAUAGCUGGAUAGCGAGAGAGUCGCGGGCGCGAGGGGAAAACUCGUGGACUAACGCGGCGCAGCGUGCGGCGGGACGGAGGCGCCGUCGUCGCGGUGUCUUCCGCAUCCCCUAGGGAAAUUAUUGACAGUCAGCGAGGAAAUGACGUCGUAAAUACCACGCCAAGGCGAAGCCGCCGUUGCCGUCGCCGUCGCCGUCGCCGCCGCUCGCUUUUCUGCUCCUCCACUUUCUCUCCUCUUUUUCCUGCUUCUCUACGUUCUUCAUCCUCUCCGUACAUGUGUUUUCCCCGCCUCCUUUCGUGCGCCACGCGUGUGCGGCGCUAAUCCUAGCGGACGUUGUUUCCAACACGCUCGCGCUCGCGGAAAAAUAUGCCCGCGCCGCGUCCACACAGCCGGCGUGAUGCAAGCCUUAACACGCGGUACAAUUAGGUUGCCAAUGUUUUCUAACCGUACAGAUUAUUCCUUGGACAUUAAUUUAGGAUUCUCCCAGCGACAGAGAUCGCUGCUUAGACACAUUUCAGCACCAGCUCCCGUUUCAAGGCUACAACUACCA
rnacentral:lncRNA from 1 species